UCUGGUGUGGAGGGAUGUGGGCAAUGGCACCAUGGCAGUGCUGCACUAUAGAGAAGGAUAUUCAUUUCACUCCGUCUUGGUUGCUUCGAUUCAGGUGAAAAGUUCUCUCUUUUACGUUUUCUAUUUGGCGUUCUUUCUUGGCUAGAAACCUUGAAACAUUGGGAAAAGUUUGGGACGUCGGGGCCUCGGAAUUUCGUGGAGAAAGAAAAUCUGGGUUCGCUCUUUUUGGGUGUCAAAGGAAGCUGUCAAUUGAAAUGUGCCGCUAUCAACCAUGGGAAGAUGCUCCACCCCAGGGUGAAGAUUUUCCACAAAGAACAGGAAAUGGCAUAGAGCAUAUGGAGGCAAGAUGGGAAACCCGGAUGGCAAUGUUAGAGGCUCGAAUAGCAAGAGUCGAGGCUCGGGUGGAAAAACUUGAGACAACAAUGCUGCAAAUGCGAAGGGGGAUGCGUGCUGUAUGCUUACUGCUUUUGGUUGCUGUGGUGUAUUCUAUAUGCAAAUAGAUACUGUGAUGAUUGGACUCAUUAUUCAUUACUGUAUUUCUCGCAUAUGAAAUGUAUAAUAGGUAUUUGAUGCAUAUAUAGACUGAAGAAUCUUCAUGCAAGGAUGUCUAUACAAAAAGAAUCUUAAUGUAAAGAUGUAUGUUUAGAAAAA